AUAUCAUCAGGGCAUUUUGUGGGCAUCUCUUUAAACCUCUUCCAAGCUUCAUAUAGGGAUUUUCCUUUUUCUGUCUGAAGGUCUUAAUAUCAGUUCUGAGCCU